rnacentral:rRNA from 1 species
UACGAAGGGGGCUAGCGUUGUUCGGAAUUACUGGGCGUAAAGCGCGUGUAGGUGGCGAUGUAAGUCGGGUGUGAAAUCCCUUGGCUUAACCAAGGAAGUGCACUCGAUACUGUGUCGCUUGAGUACCGGAGGGGAUGGCGGAAUUCCCGGUGUAGAGGUGAAAUUCGUAGAUAUCGGGAGGAACACCUGUGGCGAAGGCGGCCAUCUGGACGGUCACUGACACUGAGACGCGAAAGCGUGGGUAGCAAACAGG